rnacentral:tRNA from 1 species
GGUGACAGCACGCCGAAAUGCAAGUUCGGAGAAGCACCACAAAGGUGCCCCGGCUU